GCGUCCGUCGGGUUCGUGGUUGUUUUUAUUUCCUUGAACCGAUGCUCUUAGAGCCAGGGCUUGGAACAUCGCCCACUGGUGUGAUCGUCUCGCGUCAGACGAACCCGAGGUGGUGCUGACCUCGCCCACCUGAAUCCCCUGGGUUCAGGAAUGCGGCAACCAGUUUCCGGCGGACCUU
rnacentral:other from 1 species